AUGGCCUUCUCCUCUUUCACGUGGCCGUUCCGCCGCCGAGCCGGCCCAAGCAAACCCUCCGCCGCCGCGGAGGGGAAGGAGGAGGACGCGGAGGCGCUCGGCGUGACGCCGCAGCUCCUCGACUUCCUCCGGACGCUCUCCCCCGACGCCUUCAAGUCCUCCGCCCUCCAGCUCCACCAAGGGGCCUCCGCGGAGGCGGCGGGAGAGCUCUCGGACUGGCAGCAGCGGCACGCCGUCCUCGUGCUCGCCAGAGCCAAGGAACUCGCUAAGGUCCGCUAUGAUCUGUGCCCACGCCACAUGAAGGACAAGCAGUUCUGGACAAUCUACUUCCUGCUCGCCAGGACCUACAUCUUGCCGUACGAGUUGCGUGCCAUACAAAAAGAAAAGGUAAGAAGGAUGGAGACAGAUAACGGGAAGUCAAAAGAUGUGAUUGCUGUUGAGGUGGAGAUGCAGGAAUCGAAAUGCAGUAGAGAAUCUCAAACGUUACCAGAUGAUUCAGAACCUGAGGGUUCAUAG
rnacentral:rRNA from 1 species